rnacentral:rRNA from 1 species
AGAACGAACGCUGGCGGCAUGCCUAAUACAUGCAAGUCGAACGAACUCUUCGGAGUUAGUGGCGCACGGGUGCGUAACGCGUGGGAAUCUGCCCCUUGGUUCGGAAUAACAGUUGGAAACGACUGCUAAUACCGGAUGAUGACGAAAGUCCAAAGAUUUAUCGCCAAGGGAUGAGCCCGCGUAGGAUUAGCUAGUUGGUGAGGUAAAGGCUCACCAAGGCAACGAUCCUUAGCUGGUCUGAGAGGAUGAUCAGCCACACUGGGACUGAGACACGGCCCAGACUCCUGCGGAGGCAGCAGUGGGAAUAUGGACAAUGGGCGAAAGCCUGAUCCAGCCAUGCCGCGUGAGUGAUGAAGGCCUAGGGUUGUAAAGCUCUUUGUGCGGAAGAUAAUGACGGUACGACAAGAAUAAGCCCGCUAACUCGUGCCAGCAGCCGC